rnacentral:rRNA from 1 species
UGCGUAGGCGGAAGAUUAAGUCAGUGAUGAAAUCCUGCAGCUCAACUGUAGAACUGUCAUUGAUACUGAUUUUCUUGAAUACAGUUGAGGUAGGCGGAAUAUGUAAUGUAGCGGUGAAAUGCUUAGAUAUUACAUAGAGCACCAAUUGCGAAGGCAGCUUACUAAACUGUGAUUGACGCUGAGGCACGAAAGCGUGGGGAGCGAACAGGAUUAGAUACCCUGGUAGUCC